rnacentral:lncRNA from 1 species
UUUGUGGCGAAAUUGUCAGGGUUUAGGAAAAAUCAGGGUAGUUAGUUAUGAAAAAAAAUUGGGCAGAUCUAAAUUAUAAUUAAAAAACAAAAAUAAUAAUAAAAAGAAAGAAAAAAAACCAUCAGGUAAUCAUCACGUGGUAGAGUAGUAAUUGAUUCAUAUUACUUACAAAAAAAAUUGAUUGUAAAUUAUUAGUAAAAACUAUCAUUAGUAAAUUAUAAGAAAAAUAAAAAAAUAUAUUAGCAGAUAAUCUAAAAACGAUAAAAAAUAAAUAAAAGAAGAACGAUAUAGAAAAACAAACCAUCAGAUGAUCAUCAUGUGGUUUUGGAAAAAUAUAAAGUAGAAAACAUUUUUACAGGAAACAUUGGGACUUUAUAAUCCUCGGUGAGAGAAUUUGAUUAAAUAAUUUUUACAAGAAAAAAUAAAAAGAAACCGCCAUCAGAAAUCAUCAUAUGGCCAAAAGAUUAAAUUAAAAGAUGUAGAAAGAAUAAAAAUGCAAAAAUAAAAUUUGGAACCCUUGAGCAAAAAUUUGAGACUAUGUGAGACUCAUAUGAAACCCUGUGUAAAAUUCUGUGU